rnacentral:rRNA from 1 species
UACGGAGAGUUUGAUCCUGGCUCAGAACGAACGCUGGCGGCGUGCUUAAUACAUGCAAGUCGAACGUGAAGUGUAGCAAUACACUGAAAGUGGCGAACGGGUGAGUAACACGUAAGUAAUCUGCCUCUAAGAUUGGGAUAACCCUGCCAACGCGGGGCUAAUACCGGAUGUGGUCAUGGAGACGCAUGUUUUCAUGAUUAAAGGAGUGAUCCGCUUAGAGAUGAACUUGCGGCCCAUUAGCUAGUUGGCGGG